CUUAUAUGCAAUGUUCACAACAUUUAUGUACACGUGCUCGAAUGUGUGCAUAAAAGCUUUUGGUCAAACAAGAUGGCGAAAAAUUGGAAAACAGAAUCAUUUGCGUGCUGUUUCCGAAAGUUUCUCUAAAAUAAAGUGAUUUAUUUUAAACUAAAUUAGUUAGUAGUUAGGUAGUUAGCAUGUCCUGGAGCUGAGUCAAUAGUUUGGCGUUCGUUUAAUCUGACGGCAUCAUUUCGGUAACCCGGCCAAUUUGCAAGGCCACAGCUGCAAGAAUCCAGAAUGUUCUCGUCGCGGCAGUUGGAAUGCGGUUCGGUGGUUCCGGGAGAGGUGGAGAGUACGGAGAUUAUUUGGACAACAGGUCAUCGACGUCCUCCGUUUCGAACCACUCACACGCUUCCGGCUUGCCCUAAACGUGCGGUGUGUCACAGCAUGCGCCAACACCGGGCGACCACGAUCUGCUGUCGGACCUGAGCGGACUUUUGCUGGACAGUGCCAACGCUGGCGGCAAGUUGAUCCAUUCUGCAAACCUUCUUAACAAACCUGUUCCGCCCAGCCCUCUACCGCGCUCAUUCAAAACAACAAACAACACGACCUUCUUCCCUAAACUUCCCACCGGAGAUUGGCUCUACCUCACAACCCACAAGAUCCCCUUCAUUAGCACCUUCCCCGACCCGGACAAGUAGCUGCUUCUAGCGAUGGCAGAGUGAGUUGGGAGAGCAGAGGGGUUAUGACGAGGGGACCUGGUGGAGGCAAUUCGGCGGUCCAACUCAACGAGUGCACCCUGACAGCAAAGCGAUGCUGCCAAAGUCUGGUCACUUGCCAACGCCAUGCCAAAAGAGGUUCCCGACAUCGAUCGUGAUUGCUUGUGAAAGUCGUGAAAGUAUGUUAUUUAGAAUGUAAAUUUAAGAAUAAAAAAACCUGCAAACUCGUUUCAAUAAAAAUACAUAAAUUAGCAGCAUCAUAAAAAU
rnacentral:lncRNA from 1 species